CCCUUAGAUGUUCUGGGCAGCACGCGCUACACUGAAGGAAUCAACGUGUAUUUGCCCUUGCCCGAAAGGGUUGGGUAACCCGUUGAACCUCCUUCGUGCUAGGGAUUGGGGCUUGUAAUUAUUCCCCAUGAACGAGGAAUUCCCAGUAAGCGCGAGUCAUAAGCUCGCGUUGAUUACGUCCCUGCCCUUUGUACACACCGCCCGUCGCUACUACCGAUUGAAUGGUUUAGUGAGAUCCUCGGACUGGUCCCGCCACGGGAGGAAACUUUCGAGGCGGAGUGCCGAGAAGACGAUCAAACUUGAUCAUUUAGAGGAAGUAAAAGUCGUAACA
rnacentral:rRNA from 1 species